ensembl:lncRNA
AUGGAAACAAAUGCUUUUCUACACUUUUCUGCAGAGAAAGUGAAUGUAGAUCCUGAUGUUUCUGAAAGUGAGGAUGAAGAAAGUGAGAGUGAGAUGCCACAGCCAAAAAAGUGCCGUCAGUCCUCUUCAACAUCUACAGAGGAAUCUUCUGGCAGCAAGUCUUUAAAUGAGAGUGAGAUGCCAUCGCCAAAGCAGCAGUGUCAGUCCCCUUCAACAUCUACAGGUGCGUCAAGAUGCCCAAAAAGAAAAUGGACAGAAGAGGAGGUGAAGGCAGUCGAGAACAAACUUUCGGAUUGCAUCACAUCUGGCAGGGUACCGGGGAAAAGGCAGUGUGAAGACUGCAUCAGGUCAGCGCCGGUAUUGCUUAAACAUAGAACCUGGGAAGCAGUGAAGUUUUAUAUCAAGAACCGAAUUACAGCAUUCAAGAGGGAGUGUGAGAAAAGAAAAAAAAUGUGAUCAUGGCUCCGUUCAGUUUUUCUUUGUCAGUGAAGUUUAGCACUUUCUAAGAUGUAAGAAGUUUUUGCACUUGUUUUUGUACGCCUCUUCUCUUUUUGUACGCUUCUUUUAAAACCCUUUUCUCUUCUGCUGUUGGGAAAAAUAAGAUCCUCAUCGUUGUCAUGAGGGGUAUUGAGAGUUAACCUUUCAGUUUGGAAAAAUUAAGGACUUGUUUAGUCCAAGGGGAUUCAGUGUUUCAACUGUUGCACUUUACAGCCAAAAUGAUUGUCCAAAAGCAAUGACAAAUAAAAUCAGUCUGAAAUACUUUUGCCA